GAUCCCCCGGAAGAAAGCUCCAUUUCUGCUCAAAACCCAUCCCUGACCUUUUUGUUGAAGAAGAACAAAAUAAUGUAGUAACAAAAACACAAGUGGCUGCCAAGGGAAAGGAGAGAGGAAAAAAAAAAGAGUUCCUGUAAGGGACUGAAACAAUAAAUCUCUCUGCUGAACUCCCUGAGGGAGUGUGUGUGUUUCCUCCCGUUCUUUAUCAGAGUCCCCAAAAUAAGUAGGGGCGGGCAGGGGCUCUGGGGCUCCCCACACCUUCUCCACUUGCUGCAGGGCCUGGGCUGAAGGGAACCAGCCGUGCCUCGUCUGCAGAGGAGCCUCGAGACCCCCAGCACCAUGACUUGGCUUCCAGCAGCCACCGUUCUCCUGCUCCUGCUCUCUGGCCUCUGCCAUGGGGAUGCCACAGGUGCUGCAAAUACAUUUACUAGUGGACCAGCACCAGCAACAGCUUCCUCAACAAAAUUAUCUGUAUCAACACCAAUCUCCAUCAGUGGGGUUACUGAACCAACAUCAGAAACAUCUCCUAAAGGAAACAUAACCCCUAACAUCACAAGCAAUGAAUCUGUCACCGCAGAAGAUAGAGUGACAACUCCUGCACUUUCAAGUGUUCUUCCAACACUCCAGAGCUCCCCGAACAUGAGUGAGUAUGAGGGUUCCCGGUGUUGUGUUUGAGGGGCGUGUGCAUGGAAUGGCCUCAGAUUGC
rnacentral:lncRNA from 1 species